rnacentral:piRNA from 1 species
UGAUAGCCUCAGUAUGACUGAUCCCC